rnacentral:rRNA from 1 species
AUGGCUGCGGCGAUGGCGAUGCGAGGGGGGAGCAGCGACGGCGGCGGCGGCUCGGACAGGGGAGCCGGGAUGGACUCGGGGAAAUACGUGCGGUACACGCCCGAGCAGGUCGACACGCUCGAGCGGGUGUACGCCGACUGCCCCAAGCCGACGUCCUCGCGCCGGCAGCAGCUGCUGCGCGAGUGCCCCAUACUUGCCAACAUCGAGGCAAGGCAGAUCAAGGUCUGGUUCCAGAACAGAAGGUGCCGAGAUAAGCUGCGGAAGGAGUCUUCACGGCUCGAGUCCGUGAACAGGAAGGUGUCGGCCAUGAACAAGCUUCUUAUGGAAGAGAACGAACGUCUCCAGAAACAGGUCUCCCAGCUGGUUCAUGAGAAUGCGCAAGUGCGGCAGCAGCUGCAGAAUACUUCAGUGGCAAAUGAUGCAAGCUGUGAAUCAAAUGUGACCACCCCUCAAAACCCUAUAAGGGAUGCAAGUAACCCUUCUGGGCUCCUUUCGAUUGCAGAGGAGACCUUGACAGAAUUCCUCUCGAAGGCUACUGGGACAGCUAUUGAAUGGGUCCAGAUGCCUGGGAUGAAGCCUGGUCCGGAUUCGGUUGGUAUCGUGGCCAUUUCACACGGUUGCCGUGGUGUUGCUGCCCGUGCCUGUGGUUUGGUGAAUCUAGAACCAACAAAAGUUGUAGAGAUCUUGAAAGAUCGACCGUCUUGGUUCCGUGACUGUCGAAGCCUGGAAGUCUUCACAGUGUUACCAGGUGCAAAUGGAGGAACAAUUGAACUUGUUUACACACAGUUGUAUGCUCCAACAACUUUAGUACCUGCACGUGAUUUUUGGACUCUAAGGUAUACAACCAUAGUGGAAGAUGGCAGUCUUGUGGUCUGUGAGAGAUCCUUGAGUGGUUCUGGGGGUGGUCCAAGUGCAGCUUCUGCACAACAGUUUGUCAGAGCUGAAAUGCUUCCAAGUGGAUAUUUAGUUCGCCCCUGUGAUGGUGGAGGUUCCAUUGUGCAUAUAGUGGACCAUCUGGAAUUUGAGGCAUGGAAUAUUCCUGAAGUGCUUCGUCCGCUCUAUGAGUCUUCUAGGGUAGUUGCUCAGAAAAUGACUACUGCAGCACUCCGCCACAUCAGACAAAUUGCUCAGGAAACAAGCGGUGAGGUGGUGUAUGCCUUGGGGAGGCAACCUGCAGUACUACGGACCUUUAGUCAAAGGCUGAGCAGAGGCUUUAACGAUGCCAUCAGUGGUUUCAAUGAUGAUGGUUGGUCCAUAAUGGCUGGAGACGGCAUUGAAGAUGUAGUCGUUGCUUGCAACUCAACUAAGAAAAUUAGGAACGUCAGCAAUGGUGUUAAUGCUUUUGAAGCCCCUGGAGGUACUAUAUGUGCCAAGGCAUCAAUGUUAUUGCAGAGUGUCCCACCUGCGAUACUAGUUCGAUUUCUGAGGGAACAUAGAUCUGAGUGGGCUGAUUACAGUAUGGAUGCAUAUUUGGCUUCAGCACUGAAAACAAGCACCUGUCCAUUCCCUGGGCUGCGUCCGAUGAGAUUUUCUGGGAGCCAGAUCAUCAUGCCACUUGCUCACACAGUAGAGAAUGAGGAGAUUCUUGAAGUUGUUCGCCUUGAGGGACAACCUCUUAGUCAUGAUGAAGUUCUUCUUUCAAGGGAUAUCGACAUGCUUCAGCUUUGCACAGGAAUAGAUGAGAAAUCUGUGGGAUCCUCCUUCCAGCUUGUCUUUGCACCAAUUGAUGAUUUUCCAGAUGAUGCUCCCUUGAUUUCAUCCGGCUUUCGUGUUAUACCACUUGACAUGAAAACAGACGUUGUAUCCUCUGGUAGGACAUUAGAUUUGGCAUCUAGCCUUGAAGUAGGCUCUACUGCAGCCCAAGCCUCCGGUGCAUCUCCAGAUGAUUGUAAUGUGAGAUCUGUGCUGACAAUCGCCUUUCAAUUCCCUUAUGAGCUGCAUCUCCAAGAUAGUGUUGCAGCUAUGGCCCGUCAGUACGUUCGUAGCAUUGUCUCUGCUGUUCAAAGAGUGUCGAUUGCUAUAUCCCCAUCUCAAUCUGGUAUAAAUGCCGGGCAGAGGAUACUCUCUGGCCUUCCUGAAGCAGCGACACUUGCUCGGUGGAUUUGCCAGAGCUAUCAUUACCAUCUAGGGGUAGAGUUACUUGCUCAAUCAGAUGUAGCUGGGGAAGCAUUGUUGAAGAUGCUAUGGCACUACCAAGAUGCCAUCCUGUGCUGCUCUUUUAAGGAAGUACCCGUGUUCACAUUCGCCAACAAGGCAGGCCUUGACAUGUUAGAAACUUCCCUCGUCGCCUUGCAAGACCUGACACUGGACAAGAUCUUCGAUGAGCCUGGAAGAAAAGCAUUAUUCACGGAGAUCUCAAAAUUGGUGGAAGAGGGCCAUGUGUACCUGCCAUCAGGCGUGUGCAUGUCGGGGAUGGGCCGGCACGUGUCCUUCGACCAGGCCGUGGCGUGGAAGGUGCUCGGCGAGGACAGCGGCGUCCACUGCCUGGCCCUGUGCUUCGUCAACUGGUCCUUCGUGUGA